UGUGCAUGUGUAUGUGUAUGUGUAUGUGCAUGUGCAUGUGCAUGUGUAUGUGUAUGUGUGUGUGUGCAUGUGUAUGUGUGCAUGUGUAUGUGUGUGUGCAUGUGUAUGUGUAUGUGCAUGU
rnacentral:miRNA from 1 species